GCACCCGUAGCUCAGUUGGAUAGAGCGCCGGACUACGAAUCCGGAGGUCGCAGGUUCGAAUCCUUCCGGGUGCG
rnacentral:tRNA from 1 species